rnacentral:rRNA from 1 species
CACGUAGGGACCAAGCGUUGUCCGGAUUCAUUGGGCGUAAAGAGCUCGUAGGCGGUUCGAUAAGUCGGGUGUGAAACCUCCAGGCUCAACCUGGAGACGCCACCCGAUACUGUCGUGACUAGAGUCCAGUAGGGGAGCGUGGAAUUCCUGGUGUAGCGGUGAAAUGCGCAGAUAUCGUAAGGAAGACCAGUGGCGAAGGCGGGUCUCUGGACAGUUCCUGACGCUGAGGCACGAAGGUCAGGGGAGCAAACGGG